CAGCCGCCAGGUAAUACGGAGGGGGCUAGCGUUGUUCGGAAUUACUGGGCGUAAAGCGCACGUAGGCGGCUUGGUAAGUUAGAGGUGAAAGCCUGGAGCUCAACUCCAGAAUUGCCUUUAAGACUGCCGAGCUAGCAGGUGAGAGAGGUAAGUGGAAUUCCGAGUGUAGAGGUGAAAUUCGUAGAUAUUCGGAAGAACACCAGUGGCGAAGGCGGCUUACUGGCUCAUACUGGACGCUGAGGUGCGAAAGCGUGGGGAGCAAACAGGAUUAGAUACCCGUGUAGUCCCUGUCUCUUAUACA
rnacentral:rRNA from 1 species